AUCGCUUCUCGGCCUUUUGGCUAAGAUCAAGUGUAGUAACUCAUCCUUGUCCAUUAAGCUUCUUGACCCUGUUGGAUAUAUUCUUGGUCAUCUAGAUUUGUUUUGCAUCGUUUUGUUUUGUUUUCUUGACCCAAGGAUGAGAUGCUACACA
ensembl:snRNA U2 U2 spliceosomal RNA